AAGUCGUAACAAGGUAACCGUAGGUGAACCUGCGGUUGGAUCAUUAGUGGUUUUUACGUAGCGCUGUUGUAGUGUUUCUGGGGGGUGUUGGUCUUUGGUUUUGUGUGUUUGUCUGUUUUUGUCUUUUUGUUUGUCUGUUUUUGUGCAUUGGCUUGUGCUGCCUUGUGCUGCCUUGUGCGUUGCCGUGGCAGUACAAACGGAUCGACGGCAACACUCGGACCAGACCGAAGAACCCUUGCAGACAAUAGACGUCUUUGCUUGCUUUGAUGAAACCAAAUCAAAAACAACUUUUGACAACGGAUCUCUUGGCUCUC
rnacentral:misc_RNA from 1 species